GCGAGCGGCGGAUGGGUGAGUAACACGUGGGGAACCUGCCCCUAAGUCUGGGAUACCAUUUGGAAACAGGUGCUAAUACCGGAUAAUAAAGCAGAUCGCAUGAUCAGCUUUUGGAAGGCGGCGUAAGCUGUCGCUAAGGGAUGGCCCCGCGGUGCAUUAGCUAGUUGGUAAGGUAACGGCUUACCAAGGCGACGAUGCAUAGCCGAGUUGAGAGACUGAUCGGCCACAUUGGGACUGAGACACGGCCCAAACUCCUACGGGAGGCAGCAGUAGGGAAUCUUCCACAAUGGACGCAAGUCUGAUGGAGCAACGCCGCGUGAGUGAAGAAGGUUUUCGGAUCGUAAAGCUCUGUUGUUGGUGAAGAAGGAUAGAGGUAGUAACUGGCCUUUAUUUGACGGUAAUCAACCAGAAAGUCACGGCUAACUACGUGCCAGCAGCCGCGGUAAUACGUAGGUGGCAAGCGUUGUCCGGAUUUAUUGGGCGUAAAGCGAGCGCAGGCGGAAAAAUAAGUCUAAUGUGAAAGCCCUCGGCUUAACCGAGGAACUGCAUCGGAAACUGUUUUUCUUGAGUGCAGAAGAGGAGAGUGGAACUCCAUGUGUAGCGGUGGAAUGCGUAGAUAUAUGGAAGAACACCAGUGGCGAAGGCGGCUCUCUGGUCUGCAACUGACGCUGAGGCUCGAAAGCAUGGGUAAGCGAACAGG
rnacentral:rRNA from 1 species